GGCAACGCUCGGUUGCGUCGACAGUUAACGGUCCUGCCGGUGAUUUUCUCAGAUGAGGCCUUGAGUUUUCUCUUUCGUCGGUCGAAAAGGUUAGAAGCCAUCGAAAAAACUGCCAUCGGACUACCACAGCUGACAACAAGAGACGCGCGUGCACAACUGCAUACACACACACACACACACACACACACACACACACACACACACACACACACACACACACACACACACACACACACGGAAA